UGCCCCACCACAUGUUGAUAUAUUUUCCAAGCCCCUGAACACCAUCAGACAAGGCAAUGUACAAAGCCACAAACAUAUAUAUAAGGAAACUCAAUUCCUUUCCUUUUCACGCACAAGCAUCUGAUCUUUCUUUCUUGUUUUCUUUUUUUUUUUUCUUUUUUUUUCUUCUUCUUGCUGCAGCAACAACACGCACACCAUGCCUUCUAAUUCUUCUCAUCACCAAUUUCUUCUUCAUUUUUCCUUGUUGCAACAAACGACCCACGCACCAUAGUCAUUCAUCACCAUGCCAAUUUUCUCAUCACCCUUCAAGCACCAAACCCGCGAGCACAAAGGGAGAGAGGGAGAAGAAGUUUUUUCGCCAUUUCUUGCUUGAUCGUUGAUCCAACAGUUGCUACUUCAAGGUUUCGAGGUGAUUUUGAGGAAUUCCCAGAGGAGCAAGCCUUUGAUUGUGAACAAGUGUUAGGAGAUCGUCCUGGAGAAUCUACAGAUGUCUUUGGCGGGCUGAUUCAUGAUGGUUCAUCCUUCGGGAGGAACUAGGGUUGAGAUGCGGGAACUGGAGUGCAUCGCGGUAGCGAGAGGAGGACGGAUGGUGUACAUAGACUAGGUCGUUCUGGAUUUUAAAUUCGGACGACGAUCAUGCUAGCAUGUAGGUGUUAGUGUUGGUGUGAGCUCCUCGAGAUGGGAUUAGUGUAGGAGUAGAGUCUUAGCUCUGAACAUCAUUUGUUUUCUUUGGGAACAGGGUAGUUUCCCACCUAUAGCUCUUUGUGUGGUUUCUUUACGGGAAUCACAGAGAGUUGGUUGGACAUAGGAGAUCUUGUUUCAGGCCGAUGAGCCAGCUCAUUCUCAGUUUUGAGGGAUGGUGUUGCGGACACUUCACCCUUUUCAAUUGGUUUGUAUAUAUUGCCUACGGGCGUUACACUCUCUUACCCGUCACUGGAGGUUUACUCGUGACGUGGCUAGCUAUUUACAGCGGGGGCCGUCAUAUAUAUUGCAUAUUAGUUUUAUUACUUUUCGCAUUUGGGUUUUAUUUAAUUCAGUCUUGUCUUAGUUAUUAUCGAAAAAAAAAAUAUUCACGUUUUUCCGCAUUAAGUUUAUUUUGGUUACUAAAGUGACGCCACCGAAAUCGGGGUGUUACAGGGAGUGUAGCACAUGUUGUUGGAGAAGGCCAAAUUAGUUUAGAGUUCUCUUCUGGAAAGAGUCUUGUUUUAAAUGGAGUUUAUCAUGUUUCUGAUUUUAGGAGAAAUUUAAUAAGUUGUUCCUUGUUAGUCAAACAAGGUUACAAAUUUGUACUUGAGUCAAAUAGAGCUGUUAUUUCUAGAUUUGGUGUUUUUAUUGGUAAAGGAUACACUUGUGAUGGUCUGUUUAAGUUGAAUGUUAUGCCCUUUUCAUCUAAUAAAAAUUCUGGAAAUUCUUCUUUGAUUGUCUCCAAUGUAGAGUGCACUAAUUAUUGGCAUGGUAGGCUUGGACAUGUUAAUUUGAAUUCUGUUAGAAGAAUGAUGCUACUUGAUCUUAUUCCUAAGAUGUCUGUUGAUGUAAAACAAAAAUGUGAAAUAUGUGUUCAAGCGAAACAACCUAGAAAACCUUUUAAUAAAUGUGUUGAAAAGGAAACUAGCUUGCUUGAAUUAAUUCAUAGUGAUAUAUG